AGUGAACGCUGGCGGUAGGCCUAACGCAUGCAAGUCGAACGGCAGCACAGGAGAGCUUGCUCUCUGGGUGGCGAGUGGCGGACGGGUGAGGAAUACAUCGGAAUCUACUUUUUCGUGGGGGAUAACGUAGGGAAACUUACGCUAAUACCGCAUACGACCUACGGGUGAAAGCAGGGGAUCUUCGGACCUUGCGCGAUUGAAUGAGCCGAUGUCGGAUUAGCUAGUUGGCGGGGUAAAGGCCCACCAAGGCGAAGAUCCGUAGCUGGUCUGAGAGGAUGAUCAGCCACACUGGAACUGAGACACGGUCCAGAUUCCUACGGGAGGCAGCAGUGGGGAAUAUUGGACAAUGGGCGCAAGCCUGAUCCAGCCAUACCGCGUGGGUGAAGAAGGCCUUCGGGUUGUAAAGCCCUUUUGUUGGGAAAGAAAUCCAGCUGGUUAAUACCCGGGUGGGAUGACGGUACCCAAAGAAUAAGCACCGGCUAACUUCGUGCCAGCCGCCGCCGUAA
rnacentral:rRNA from 1 species